rnacentral:misc_RNA from 1 species
GAAAUGCGAUACGUAAUGCGAAUUGCAGAAUUCAGUGAAUCAUCAAAUCUUUGAACGCAAGUUGCGCUCUCACGCUUGCGUGGGAGCAUGCCUCUUUCAGCAUCGGUUAUUCUAUCCUCAUCUGCUUGCCAGAUGGAGAAUGAGUUGUCGCGUGCGAAUUUCUUGUUUUUUUUUUUUUUUACGCGUCACUUGAAGUAAGGCGAGCUCAGUCGCAAGUUUCACUGAGAAAGUGACGUUGGUAGGUAAUGAAAGGAGUGAAACAAAUCUCCUUUCCUUUACUUCAUGCCGCGUCUGCUUUCGCUUGCAGGUGAAGCUGUCCUUUUAUUUUUUUUCUCCUUCGAGAAAGAAAGGGGACGACUGGCGUAUGAGUCUGCUUGAUUCUUCUUCUGUCACAAAACAAACGGCGGAAAGAGUCAGUCGCAGUGCUCAAAAGCUUAACGACUUGAUCUGAAAUGAGGUAAGAGGACCCGCCGAAGUUAAGC